UACGUAGGGGGCAAGCGUUAUCCGGAUUUACUGGGUGUAAAGGGAGCGUAGACGGCGGUGCAAGCCAGAUGUGAAAGCCCGGGGCUCAACCCCGGGACUGCAUUUGGAACUGUAUGGCUGGAGUGUCGGAGAGGCAGGUGGAAUUCCAUGUGUAGCGGUGAAAUGCGUAGAGAUAUGGAGGAACACCAGUGGCGAAGGCGGCUUCCUGGUCUGCAACUGACACUGAGGCGCGAAAGCGUGGGGAGCAAACAGG
rnacentral:rRNA from 1 species